rnacentral:snRNA from 12 species
AGCUUUGCGCAGCAGCAGCAUCGUAGCCAAUGAGGUUUAUCCAAGGUGCGAUUAUUGCUAAUUGAAAAAACAAUCAAUGGA